ACGCACGCUGGCGGCGUGCUUCACACAUGCAAGUCGAACGGAAAGGCCCUGCUUUUGUGGGGUGCUCGAGUGGCGAACGGGUGAGUAACACGUGAGUAACCUGCCCUUGACUUUGGGAUAACUUCAGGAAACUGGGGCUAAUACCGGAUAGGAGCUCCUGCUGCAUGGUGGGGGAUGGAAAGUUUCGGCGGUUGGGGAUGGACUCGCGGCUUAUCAGCUUGUUGGUGGGGUAGUGGCUUACCAAGGCUUUGACGGGUAGCCGGCCUGAGAGGGUGACCGGCCACAUUGGGACUGAGAUACGGCCCAGACUCCUACGGGAGGCAGCAGUGGGGAAUAUUGCACAAUGGGCGGAAGCCUGAUGCAGCAACGCCGCGUGCGGGAUGACGGCCUUCGGGUUGUAAACCGCUUUCGCCUGUGACGAAGCGUGAGUGACGGUAAUGGGUAAAGAAGCACCGGCUAACUACGUG
rnacentral:rRNA from 1 species